GUGUGUGCAGCCGCAGUUCAGACUCCAGCAUAGUGCCUCUCUGGACAUGUGAACACUAUACAAAUAUUUGUACAUAAGAAAAUAUAGUGCCCUUCACUUGUAAAAUAGGUAUGUGUAAGGAGACAGGGACAGGAGACGUUCAUGCAUUACAACUUAUGUAGUAAGCAUAUGUUAUGGUGCUUGAAUAUUCCUAGCAUUUAACACAGUGAUACAAAAAUGCAACACAUGCACACAAAAAUGUUCUGCUUUAACUUCACAUUCGCUGUGCCAGAGAGGGAGAGUUAAUCUGCUGUGCCAGAGAGGGAGAGUUCAUGUGAUAGUCUGUGAUGUCCUUUGUAUGGGUUGUAUACAUUGAUUCUAUUUUUUUGAACUUUAAUUAAUACUAAUAGCCAUCCAUGAAAAUUUAUUGUUUUGUGCAUUAAUUGCCAUGUGCAUUAGUGAGGCCAGUGCAAACUACUAUUGCAAGUAUCAAUUUUUUAUUUAAUGGAGACCUUCGUUCUUCAAAUGCAUUAGGCCAAAAUACCCAUUAUGCUUGCCGAGCACAUUGGGAGUUUAGAUCCUACAAGCAUAUUUCUGCAUCUGCAUCUGAAACCAAAACCACCACAAGAGGCACAAGUAUAGGAAGUGUAAUGUGUGUAACAAGGUCUGUAGUGGCUUCCUAUUGGUAACCCUGUUUGCUCCAUUUAAAUUGCUCCAUUUAAGUUCCAAGCAUUGUUAACAUUUGGGAGUCAUCCCAUGCCUUGUCACCUACAUUAAACUUCUUCUACCUGCGCCUCCGGUAAUUGUUUUUUAUGUUAAGUUUGGACAAGAAGGAGAGUAGCAUUUUCUGGAGUGCAGCAAAUUGGGGAAAUAAAGUUGAUAUUAAUAGAAUGGGUAUAGAUUUUUAUUUGGCAAUAUUUCUGCGUCUGUUCAGGGAAUUUAAAGCUCCCUGACCUGAGUGUUAAUUACAUGAGCACUAAUUAACCACCGGGCAGCCCUCAUGGGAUGGGAUAGUAAGUGAAAUGCUUGGCCUAUAUAAACCACUGCUUCAUCUUACCUCAUUACAUAGAUUAGGCUGAUAAGUGUGCUCUGGAACAGCAUUAAGGAGCCAGCUAGGCAACUUUAAUGCAUCAUUAAGAAAGAAAAAGAACCUUUCACGUGUAAGAGCUGUCUCAGAAGCUGUUAUAUUUAGAUAUUCCG